UUUGAAAUCUUGACGUUUUGAAGUUAUUGUAAGCAUGGUAACUUUUUAAUGAAAAUGUGUCUGUUUAUCAACCCUAAAAAAUUGAUUACGGCAUCUCAAAAUUUUGCCGAAUAAAUUCUUUCGCAAAUGUGCAAAAUAUGAACAGACUUUUAAUCAUUGCAUUCAUAUUUUUUAGAUUUGCUUAAACAGGUGAUUCAAAAAAAUUAAUGAAUCGGCCAAUUUAUUAUCCAUACCAAGGCGGUGGGACACUCAGUGAGUGAACAGCUUAGCCAACCUCUCGUAAUGACGUUGUAAAAUUUUAUUGUAUACAACAGAAACGUUUCUACUAUAAUUGUCGGCGCAAUGCAGUGAAGGAGUGUAACUUAUUUUGCGUAAAUACUUGUUUUUAUUUCUAUACAGGUAGUGCUGGUGUAGCAGUGAAAACAGAGACCAUGGUUGGGAAAAAGAGACAAAUUGACGCUAGUGGUUCCUGGAGCGUAAAGAAGCCAAGGGCCACACCUCUGGUAGCCACUGCCAAAUAGAACCCUAGGAAGCGGGAGCCAGCCGUCGAGCGAUCAUCUUCGGACUGCAGAAUUAUCGAAAAAUUCCUCUAGGGCAUCCGCACCGAUCAUUAUGCUCCCAAAUUUCUGAAACAGUGUCGACUAUUGAAUGACCGCCUCACUCGUUGGUCCUUGCUUCUAAACGAAUUCGACUACGAAGUCACACACUCCAGGGAAACAAAAUGUCACUGACACCCAAAGUGAUACUGCCGCUGUAUUUCUACACACAGGUACAGAAGGACACUCUGAAGACGCUUGGGGGCGACUGUAGUGGCCCACUUUGUAUUCAAAUUUAAAGAAAAGCGCGCCCAACUGACGAAGGUGAAGAAGUUAGCAAUUAUUUUUUUUACUUGUUUUUAUUGUUUCAGUUUUUAUUCAUCUUAUUUUCACCCUGGUUUUGCCGUUGGAGCCGCAAACCACCGCUGCCGUCUUCCGUGGGGCCGAGAAUCACUUCUUCCCUCUCGGAAGGAGGAACGUUUGGGGCGGUAAGAACGCUGGGCGUUUAGUCGAACUGGACAGAAUUGGACAGGUACCCGGUGCGAACCACCCAGAAGGCAGUUUGGGGUGGAAAUCACCACGACCCGGGGCCCCGCUGUAGAAGAUCUCCAUCAGACGUUUGUCGCAUCGUAAUCUCGAACAUAUUUUCUGUGGGAGCAUCAACUGUGGCGAAAAUUCUAUCAACAGGGGACCAAAAUUUAUAAACAUCACUAUCUGGCAAGCGAAAACCAACAGAUUUAUUUACAAAUUUUGUUUCGGAAAGACCUGCAACGACAAAUUUGGCAACUUAAUGCAAAAAACGAAUAUUUCACUGUUGAUACUCUUUUGGCAUAUUCUAGGGAACAGUCGGAAUUUAACGGAGCGCGAAGCACAUUAUACAAAAUUCUUGAGUCAAUGGGUUAUAAACACAGCGAAGUAAAUGGUCGCAAAAUUCUAUGUGAACAAAAACAUGUCGUUGCAGCCAAAAUUACUUUUUUGAGAACAUAUUUACAGUUUCUAAAUUCUUGUGAAAAUUUGACUUUCGUGUAUUUGGAUGAAACAUGGAUCUAUCAAAAUGGUUCGUCCAUUCGUCGCUGGGUGCACGACACUGAUCUAAAAAGCAGUCCCACCAAAAUUAAAAGUGAAGGAUCAAGGUUUACUAUUAUCCACGCGGGUUGUUCAACGGGGUUCUUGGAUGGUUGUAACAAUUUUUUAAAUUCAAAAAAUAACGAUAGAGACUAUCAUAAAACGAUGGACGGGACAAUUUUUCAAAAUUGGGUGGUUAAUCAGCUCAUUCCUGCUUUGGCAAAGUUGAACCAAAAAUGUGUGGUGGUUUUAGACAAUGCACCGUAUCAUUCGGUUCAGUUGGAUAAACCACCCACUUUUUCUAGUAAAAAAUGUGAAAUGCAGGAAUGGUUCUUUAAACAUAGAGUUGAAUUUGACGAAAAAUUUUCGAAGAAACAGUUGUGGGAUUUAAUUAAACCCUUCAGAAACAAUAGAAAAAAAAAGAUAUUUGGUAGACGAGAGAUUAAGAGAAAGUGGCCAUGAAGUUCUUAGAUUACCUCCGCACCAUUGUCAAUAUAAUCCAAUUGAAAUGGCGUGGGGAUUUUGUAAGAACUAUUACAACAAGCAUAUAAAUUCUCAACCUUCAUUAAAAAAUAGGGUGGAGAAUUUAUGGCUUGAGGCGCUUUGUAACUGUACUCCAAGCAUGUGGCAAAAUUUUUGUAAACAUUGUGAAAAACUUAUUUUGGCAGAUUGGGAAAAAAAUAUGGGAAAUCUUUCGUACGAAUCUAUACCUCCUUUCAUUACUUCGCUAGGUGAAUCUGAUUCAGAAUCUGAAUUUGAAAAUGAUACAGAUUUUCAUGGCGAAAUAAUGGAAAUGGAGUGAAUUGUAGCUUGUCGGGGGGUGAUAUUUUUACGCAUCUUUCGUUCUAAAUUUACCAAGGUAGUAUAUGAAAAACCACCUGACGUACAACAAAAUAAGUAUAAUUUCAGUUAGAUCAUCCACGUUGUUACUUUGCACCAAAUUUUAAGCAUUUUCAUUUUUUUUGUAACUCUUCAUAGACCUGGAGAAGGCGUAUAGUAACGUUCUUAUUAAUAAGCGUUUGGAAGUAUUUAGUAAAAGCAAAUAAAGAGCACUUACGUAAGCAUUAGUAAUAGCUAUAUAAAUAAAUCAUUCAAUUUAAGGCCGGAAAAAUGUUUCAGAAGAGCUAAACCCAUCAAAGCACUAGAGCAAGGUUGUUGUCUUUUACCAACCCUUUUAGUAAUCUUAGAAAAGUGAAAAAAGAAGUUGGAAGAUUUGGAAAUAGGCUGUUCACAAAGAUCGAAAUUUCCAUUUCUAAGAAAAGUGGGCGACCAGAACGAACUGAUGAUUGAGAAUUAAAGAUGAGAUGCUAAAUGUGGCAUGCGACAAUAGUCGUAUGUAGAACCCCCAUUCACAUAAAAACAAUGUUUAAGUGAAAUUUUAGUGUUUGUUCCUUACAUAUGAAAUAAACACUUACAAAAUGCCGAAUAAUUAUUUUAAAUAGCGUAUACAUAGUUUUAUGCUUUCUAAGAAAUGGAUACCGUUAACUUGGUCAUUGCUACUGAAAACUGAAAGUAUCGGCAACAAUGUUUAUAUUUCUGGCAUAUUUUUUAACCUUUAAUUCAAUAAAACAUAACCUAACGAAAAAAGUUCAGGGAAUUUUCAGCGGUGACUUUGACUUCCUGCACUCUUCCCGCUCCGCAUUCCGCCAUUUCAAAACACAACGCAGGAUCCUACAUUUGGUGCCGAUUACAGUUCAUGGUCACUUUUCGAAUUUUUCGCGGGAUUUUCAAAUUUUGUGCGCAUGUUUGGAGGGGAUAAGUAAUUUCACCCGGCACUACACAUUACAUUUUGUAAUUGCACCUUAAUUAUGAGUUUUGUGACAAGUUAUAAGACGAGAUGUGUGUUUUCAACCCAUUUUUCAACCUUGUGAGAGCAGACUCAGAAACUAUACUAAUUUUGAAAUUUAUCUUUUCAUUUAUCUGGAAAUCGUGGUGGCCUCCUAAAUUAGGAAUAAUAAUUAUUAUUUCUUGUAUCCAAUUAAUUUUUUUCUUGAGUGAUGAAAUAAUUAAAAAGGUCGAUUCCACGAAUUCUACGACGGGACCCAUAGCCGAGCUGUUUACUUAUGACCCGAUGAAGACAUACGAGUUUUGGAGGUACUUGACGUACAUGUUCGUGCAUACAGGUUAUGCACAUCUCUUUGAAAAUUUGGUCUUCCAAAUCAUCAUCGGCAACUUACUUGAAAAGAACCAGGGCUGGUGGCGGGUUUUCGUUAUUUAUUUCGCAGGAGUGGUUGCUGGUUCCCUGGGUACUUCCAUUAUAAAUCCCACCCGCUCAGUGGUGGGGGGCAGCGGCGGUGCCUUCUCAAUUUUCACUGCCUGCAUCCCUGCAGUAAUCAUGAAUUGGAAAGAAAAGUGCCUUUCAAAAACACAACUCGCAAUGUUGUUUUCUGUUAUUGUUCUAGUCGUUGGUUUUGUCAUGUACAUCAUACAGGAUUGGUUCAAAGAGACCGCACACGUUGCUCACUUUUUUGGGGCUUUGGCAGGUUUCUUAGUCGGCAUAGUUGUUUUAGAGGAUGUAACAAAUACAGACACAGGAAAGAUAAUAUGGUACAUUGCCUUGGCUGUAAUAGUGGUGCUGGCCGGAAUCUAUUGGAACAUUUCCUGCAGGGAUUGUUUCUCCAAACAAAUUUAAAGAGUGCUUUUCAUGUUUUUUUUUUUUUGUAAUAAAAAUUUACAAAAUUA